UCCACCUAUUUUCAUAUGUAGAUUGGUUAGUACAUGUGCACCAAUCAAAGUAAUGUACUAACACUAGCUCCACCUUACUGUACACUUUAUAUUAACACUCACUUCCUAUGUUACGUAGUUACACCGGUGGUAGAGAUGAACUAACAAUGUAUU